rfam:Vasilyevaea enhydra strain ATCC 23634 genome assembly, contig: JN15DRAFT_scaffold00001.1
CGUUGUGUCCGGGCCCCUCUGGCACCGUCCCAAAAGUCGGUGCGAUGUCGGUUCACAGUC